UGGCGCAACUGGGAAAGGAAACUGCAGGCGCCGCGCCUGUGCUCGGGAUUUACUCAGCGCUCGAGUGCCCCGGGACACCGCAAGAGAAAGAACCUUGAGCCGCGUAUCGACAGGACAUCUCUAGAACAAUGGAGACAAGAGUCCUACUGCUGCUGGUCCUGAUGUCCUCAGUGAUGACGGACAAUUGUCAACAAAUGGACAGAGUAAUGCAUCAUCUACAAACUUCAUUACACCAACAACUCCAACAACAACAGAAUCAACAACUACUACAACAGGAACGACUCCACAUCUCAAACUACUUCUGGCACCGACACAACCAACAACA